UGGUGGAGCGAUUUGUCUGCUUAAUUGCGAUAACGAACGAGACCUUAACCUGCUAAAUAGCCCGAAUCGCUUUGGCGGUACGCUGGCUUCUUAGAGGGACUAUCGGCUCAAGCCGAUGGAAGUUUGAGGCAAUAACA
rnacentral:rRNA from 1 species